rnacentral:rRNA from 1 species
GAUGAACGCUGGCGGCGUGCCUAAUACAUGCAAGUCGAGCGAACAGACGAGGAGCUUGCUCCUCUGACGUUAGCGGCGGACGGGUGAGUACCACGUGGAUAACCUACCUAUAAGACUGGGAUAACUUCGGGAAACCGGAGCUAAUACCGGAUAAUAUAUUGAACCGCAUGGUUCAAUAGUGAAAGACGGUUUUGCUGUCACUUAUAGAUGGAUCCGCGCCGCAUUAGCUAGUUGGUAAGGUAACGGCUUACCAAGGCAACGAUGCGUAGCCGACCUGAGAGGGUGAUCAGCCACACUGGAACUGAGACACGGUCCAGACUCCUACGGGAGGCAGCAGUAGGGAAUCUUCCGCAAUGGGCGAAAGCUUGACGGAGCAACGCCGCGUGAGUGAUGAAGGUCUUCGGAUCGUAAAGCUCUGUUAGUAGGGAAGAACAAAUGUGUAAGUAACUAUGCACGUCUUGACGGUACCUAAUCAGAAAGCCACGGCUAACUACGUG